AGUUACUUAGCUUAUUUUAAAGCAUAAACUUUGAAAGUUUAAGAAAGAAUAAUGAUUUUAGUAACUU
rnacentral:tRNA from 1 species